GGAGGCGUGCCCGAGCAGGGACUACAUUGAUAGAGUAGACACGGAACUAAGACUCCCACCUCCC
rnacentral:tRNA from 2 species